rnacentral:rRNA from 2 species
CACUAUCGUUAACUGAAUACAUAGGUUAACGAGGCGAACCGGGGGAACUGAAACAUCUAAGUACCCCGAGGAAAAGAAAUCAACCGAGAUUCCCCCAGUAGCGGCGAGCGAACGGGGAGCAGCCCAGAGUCUGAAUCAGCUUGUGUGUUAGUGGAACGGUCUGGAAAGUCCGACGGUACAGGGUGAUAGUCCCGUACACCAAAAUGCACAGGUUGUGAACUCGAAGAGUAGGGCGGGACACGUGGUAUCCUGUCUGAAUAUGGGGGGACCAUCCUCCAAGGCUAAAUACUCCUGACUGACCGAUAGUGAACCAGUACCGUGAGGGAAAGGCGAAAAGAACCCCGGCGAGGGGAGUGAAAAAGAACCUGAAACCGUGUACGUACAAGCAGUGGGAGCACCUUCGUGGUGUGACUGCGUACCUUUUGUAUAAUGGGUCAGCGACUUAUAUUCUGUAGCAAGGUUAACCGUAUAGGGGAGCCGCAGGGAAACCGAGUCUUAACUGGGCGUUAAGUUGCAGGGUAUAGACCCGAAACCCGGUGAUCUAGCCAUGGGCAGGUUGAAGGUUGGGUAACACUAACUGGAGGACCGAACCGACUAAUGUUGAAAAAUUAGCGGAUGACUUGUGGCUGGGGGUGAAAGGCCAAUCAAACCGGGAGAUAGCUGGUUCUCCCCGAAAGCUAUUUAGGUAGCGCCUCGUGAACUCAUCUUCGGGGGUAGAGCACUGUUUCGGCUAGGGGGUCAUCCCGACUUACCAACCCGAUGCAAACUACGAAUACCGAAGAAUGUUAUCACGGGAGACACACGGCGGGUGCUAACGUCCGUCGUGAAGAGGGAAACAACCCAGACCGCCAGCUAAGGUCCCAAAGUCAUGGUUAAGUGGGAAACGAUGUGGGAAGGCACAGACAGCCAGGAUGUUGGCUUAGAAGCAGCCAUCAUUUAAAGAAAGCGUAAUAGCUCACUGGUCGAGUCGGCCUGCGCGGAAGAUGUAACGGGGCUAAACCAUGCACCGAAGCUGCGGCAGCGACACUAUGUGUUGUUGGGUAGGGGAGCGUUCUGUAAGCCUGCGAAGGUGGCCUGUGAGGGUUGCUGGAGGUAUCAGAAGUGCGAAUGCUGACAUAAGUAACGAUAAAGCGGGUGAAAAGCCCGCUCGCCGGAAGACCAAGGGUUCCUGUCCAACGUUAAUCGGGGCAGGGUGAGUCGACCCCUAAGGCGAGGCCGAAAGGCGUAGUCGAUGGGAAACAGGUUAAUAUUCCUGUACUUGGUGUUACUGCGAAGGGGGGACGGAGAAGGCUAUGUUAGCCGGGCGACGGUUGUCCCGGUUUAAGCAUGUAGGCUGGUUAUCCAGGCAAAUCCGGAUAAUCAAGGCUGAGGUGUGAUGACGAGGCACUACGGUGCUGAAGUAACAAAUGCCCUGCUUCCAGGAAAAGCCUCUAAGCAUCAGGUAACAUCAAAUCGUACCCCAAACCGACACAGGUGGUCAGGUAGAGAAUACCAAGGCGCUUGAGAGAACUCGGGUGAAGGAACUAGGCAAAAUGGUGCCGUAACUUCGGGAGAAGGCACGCUGGUGUGUAGGUGAAGUCCCUGCGGAUGGAGCUGAGACCAGUCGAAGAUACCAGCUGGCUGCAACUGUUUAUUAAAAACACAGCACUGUGCAAACACGAAAGUGGACGUAUACGGUGUGACGCCUGCCCGGUGCCGGAAGGUUAAUUGAUGGGGUUAUCCGUAAGGAGAAGCUCUUGAUCGAAGCCCCGGUAAACGGCGGCCGUAACUAUAACGGUCCUAAGGUAGCGAAAUUCCUUGUCGGGUAAGUUCCGACCUGCACGAAUGGCGUAAUGAUGGCCAGGCUGUCUCCACCCGAGACUCAGUGAAAUUGAACUCGCUGUGAAGAUGCAGUGUACCCGCGGCAAGACGGAAAGACCCCGUGAACCUUUACUAUAGCUUGACACUGAACAUUGAGCCUUGAUGUGUAGGAUAGGUGGGAGGCUUUGAAGCGUGGACGCCAGUCUGCGUGGAGCCAACCUUGAAAUACCACCCUUUAAUGUUUGAUGUUCUAACGUUGGCCCCUUACCGGGGUUGCGGACAGUGUCUGGUGGGUAGUUUGACUGGGGCGGUCUCCUCCCAAAGCGUAACGGAGGAGCACGAAGGUUAGCUAAUCCUGGUCGGACAUCAGGAGGUUAGUGCAAUGGCAUAAGCUAGCUUGACUGCGAGCGUGACGGCGCGAGCAGGUGCGAAAGCAGGUCAUAGUGAUCCGGUGGUUCUGAAUGGAAGGGCCAUCGCUCAACGGAUAAAAGGUACUCCGGGGAUAACAGGCUGAUACCGCCCAAGAGUUCAUAUCGACGGCGGUGUUUGGCACCUCGAUGUCGGCUCAUCACAUCCUGGGGCUGAAGUAGGUCCCAAGGGUAUGGCUGUUCGCCAUUUAAAGUGGUACGCGAGCUGGGUUUAGAACGUCGUGAGACAGUUCGGUCCCUAUCUGCCGUGGGCGCUGGAGAAUUGAGGGGGGCUGCUCCUAGUACGAGAGGACCGGAGUGGACGCAUCACUGGUGUUCGGGUUGUCAUGCCAAUGGCACUGCCCGGUAGCUAAAUGCGGAAGAGAUAAGUGCUGAAAGCAUCUAAGCACGAAACUUGCCCCGAGAUGAGUUCUCCCUGAGACUUUAAGUCUCCUGAAGGAACGUU